UCUGGGAGCUGACAUUCAGGAAUGUGGAGUAAAUCACCAGCUAGUUAAUUGCUUGACUGCAAUUAUGUAAGUCCUGUAGGGAUUGCUAAGUUGCUAGAAGAGUCCGUAACUGGGGCAGGGAGGAAGGUCCUGCUAGGACUGAGGGAUCAGAAAGUCUCCCCAGGAAGAAGACAAGAUGGCUGGAUGCACAGAAAGAAGGGUCAGUGGUACAGAGGGAAGCUUCUGGUCCAACAGAGACAAGAAUUUGAAUUGAUGGAGCCUAACAGCAUGAGGAUGCUUCCUUGGGAACCUUGACAACAUAUUGUGAGGAAGCCCGUGCCACACGGAGAAGCUGACAUGGAGAGGAACUCAGCCCUCCCGCCAGCAGGCAGUUCCAAUUUGCCAGGCAUGUGAGUGAGCCAUUUUGGAAGCAGGUCCUUCAGCCACAGUCAAACCUUCAAAUAUGUACACCUCCAACCAGCAUGUGUUUGCAACCUCAUGGGAAACUCCUAAGCCAGAACCUCUCCCAAAUUCCUGGCUCACAGAAACCAUGAGAGAUUUUUGUUGUUUAAGCCAUUAAGUUUUGGGGUAAUUUGUUAAGGAGUAUUUGUGUGAACCAGAUUGAUGUCAUCUUGGACAAAUCCACCGCGACGACUCCUCUGUGACAUGAAGCCUUCUUGAGCACAGCACCCACCCCCCAAAUUCUUCCUUUUUGUUUAACCACACCCUUAAGUACACUCUUGGAGCAUGACAUCCUUGAUCUGCUCUGGAGAUAUGACUAUGAUUCUCAAACAUUCUCCUCCUGGGUGGUCUCCCAGUCUCUAAGGCUAUGAAAACAGGUCAAAACAGAUCUUACAGGAGGUGGGGUCGCAGAGAUAUCCUCUUGCCACCACCCAAGACAUGCUUCUCUCCAUAAGUUCCUUUAAUGAAUCAUUUCUUGACAAGCUGUACUUGUUGGCCUUAUUCUUCAGUCUUACAGCCCCUUUGGCCUUUGGAGGACAUUUUAUAUAUACCUCCCUUUCACAGAGCAGUAUUGGCUAAAUUAAUACACCCAACAUGUUAGCUUUGUCCUUCAUAGUUAAGGCAUGGCUGCUACAGCUUCUGACAUCUCAUCACCGUUUCAGAAAAGCAUGACAAUAUUCUAAGAGCAGAAUUAAAUUAACCUUAUAAGCACCAAGCAACUAGAAUCUUUGGAGUUCAACUCUGAACAUAGGAUUGCAACAUUAAGAGCUACAGGACUAGCUAGUUUUUUGUUCUCUUGUCAAGCUAGGGCAGGGACCCACUCUAAAAUCCACAUUAUCUUCGCCACUAGUAAUCUCACUGAUGAAACUGCAUUGGUAGCAUCCAUUAUGCUAAUUAGAAAGCCACCAAUUUCAUCAGCAGAAACCUAUUUCUAACAUUAAUUAUGUCAGCUGAUAAAUUGUCUGGCGCUGAUCAGAGAUAAAGAUAGUGGAAGCUUUUCCAGUAGCUGUUUCUGGAAUACAGGUUUCCUAAUUAGAGUGCUGGCUUUCCACCUUAGGAUGUAAAUUCUCAAUUAGGACAAACGAUAGUACCUAGGCUAUCACGUAACUCUGGUAUAUGAGAACACUCUGCCUGUGGUAAAAUAUUUUAAAGUAUAUUACAGACAUUACAAUGCCCAGUUGGGUCUCUUAUCUCAAGUUCAUUUCUACAUCCCCUUUCACACAUCCCCUUCAAGUCUCCCUGUUAGUUUCAUUAGUUUCUGAGGAACCAAAUCUACUCAUACAGGGAUAGGUUUUGGGUUUUUUUUAAUUUUUAAAAAAAAUUUUUUUUUAAAGAUUUAUUUAUUUUUGAGAGAGACAGAGACAGAGCUUGAGUGGGGGAGGGGAAGAGCAAGGGGGAGACACAGAAUCCGAAGCAGGCUCCGGGCUCCAAGCUGUCAGCACAGAGCCCGAUGCGGGGCUUGCACCCACAGACGGUGAUAUCAUGACCUGAGCCGAAGUCAGAUGCCCAACCGACUGAGCCACCCAGGCGCCCUGGGAUAGGUGGGGGUUUUUUGGUUUGUUUUUUUUUUUUGAUACUCCAUCUAGGACAAGCUGCAGAAACUGUUUUGGCUCUGAGAUCCGCUAAAUGUGUGCCCAUUUCCCAAGGAAGGUAGUGAUCCGUGCAGGCAGUUGAGUCCAAACCCGUGUUCAAGAAGGACAUACCCCGCAUUUCUUUCACUGCCUCAUCACUUGUAUCUUGAGUCAGGGAUCCUCAUUACGGUUGCAGAUAGGAUUUGGUCCCUUGGUGCCUAACAGAUUAAGACCAGAACUGUGUUACUCCAGGCCCCAAGCCCAGCAAAGAGCCCAGCACGGGGCUUGAUCCCACGACCUUUGGUUCAUGACCUAAGACGAAAUAUAGAGUUGGGCCCUCAACCAUCUGAGCCACCCAGGCACCCCAACGUGCUAAGUGUUUUUCGUGCAUCAGCUGAUGUAAUUCUGGCAGCAGCCCUACAUGGAAGGAAGUGUUGUCCUACUAUGUGUUUCAGUGAAGUCAAAUACCACACCUCAAGUCUCACAGAGCUUCUUGUCUAGGUGAAAGAAAUCACUGUGCAACACAGCAACUGCUACCACAGUGGCAUGUCCAAAAGCAGAAAUGCUGACAAGGAAGGGAGAAAAAAGCUCCCUCCCCACAUGAAUCUGGAAAGAUUCUUUGAAGGGGUGCCAUUGAAGAAUGAGAGGAACUUUACCUGAUCAGGAAGAAUCUGUUGCCAUAUUAGAUUAACUCAAAAAUCAGAAAAUGAUAAAGAAGAAAUCAAGAAGGUCACUGCCACCUAAAAAUAUCACAAUAACAGAAAUUACUUGGGUUUUCAUAAGGCUAUAGAUUAACGUAGAUGCUGCAUCUUUUUUUUUUUUUGCAAAGAACAAACAAAAAAAAAACCCACCUCAUGAUUUCAGUUCUUGCUUCAUUUCCUCCUUUAUGCUAAGUAAUACUGCCCAUGAGGCUUCUCUCUUAACCUCCUGCCUGCCCUUCCCCCAUCUUCCAGUCCAUAUGUCUGUUAAUCACGUGGUUAUUUUUCCCAGAGCCGAGUGCUUGAGCAUGCUGUAUCUUAAGAAAUGUGCCAGAACAGGUCAGGGGAGGCCCCUUCACUUUCUAGGAACAUUGGCAGCUGCAUGAAGGCCUUAAGUGACUGGUUCUUCAUUUAGGUUCUGGCUUUAACUUACACGCAAUCACAUAUUUGUAAGUCAGGAAAUGUGGAAAUGUGAGAUUUUUGCUGUUCAGCACUCAUGUUCUCCUCCUAGAUGAUAGGAACUCAGGUGUUCUUGGGGAAUCACCUCUCCCCCCAAUCUCAGUCCAAGAGCUUGAAAGUGGUCACCUGUCCCCAGGCCUGGCCAAUCAAGGUCACAGUCAUACCACAUGACCCAUGCAGGGCCGAUGAGCAUCAGCUUGGAACUUUCACGGGUCCUCUUGGGGAAGAGGAAUACUCUUCCCAUGUUGGUGACAAAGCUGGUGCGAUAUGAACUUGGCACUAUAGCUGCCCAUCUUCGCCACCACCUGAGGAGCGCCUACCUGACAAUGAGGCUAACAUAGUGUCAGUGUUUCUGCUCAGGCUGGUUGUGCCCUUCAUGGCUUUCUUCUUGUCCAUGCAUAAGGCUACUAGUGUCACUGCAACUGCACUACCAGACGAGCUUCUGAUGGGGACACAGUGACUGCCGAUGCUGCCUUUAUUCAAGAGGUCAGUGGGGCUCCUGGGUGGCUCAGUCGGUUGAGCGACCAACUUCAGCUCAGGUCAUGAUCUCACGGUUUGUGAGUUCGAGCCCCAUGUCGGGCUCUGUGCUGACAGCUUGGAGCCUGGAACCUGCUUUGGAUUCUGUGUCUCCUUCUCUCUCUCUGCCCCUCCCCAACUCACGCUCUGUCUCUCUGUCUCAGAAAUAAAUGAACAUUUAAAAAAAAAAAAAAAGAAGUCAGUGCUGUCCCUCACCCCUACCUAGAUUCUUGACAUCCUGGCUGAGACCCUAUAACCUGUCCAAUUACUUAAAAAUCUCUCUUGCUGGGACGCCUGGGUGGCUCAGUCGGUUAAGUGUCCGACUUCAGCUCAGGUCAUGAUCUCACACCCCAUGAGUUUGAGCCCCGUGCUGACAGCUCAGAGCCUGGAGCCUGCUUCGGAUUCUGUGUCUCCCUCUCUCUCUGCCCCUGCCCUGCUCACACUCUGUCUCUCUCUCCAUCUCAAAAAUAAAUAAAUACAUUUAAAAAAAUUUUUUUUAAAUCUCUUUCUUGCUUAGUGCAUUCCAACAUUGUCCUUGUCCCUGGCCAAGACCUGCCAGCCCCUUCUUCAUGUCCCAGAAAGUAUAUCUGAGUUAGUCUGGAACUCUCUCAAAGCCAGUAUCAGCUCCUCCAUCAGGAGGGUGACACUGCUUUAGGGCCGUUUUAUGAAGAUUUAGACUCUCUACCUUCCCCUGAGGCUCCAGGAUCUUCAUGCAGAAGAACAAGGUGCCAGACUGCCACCUGGACGUCUGUGACCUCAACACAGGUGCUGUCUGAGACUGCCUGCUUUUCACACCAACUCCAGACUCCAGGAGAGCCUGAAUGAGGCUACAUGGAGCAUAUCCCUUCAAACCAGCAUCAAUAUGUGACAGUGCUGUUCCUUAUGUAUGAUGCCCAGCUGUCCCUCAGAUAGCAGCCUCGUGCCCAACCUUAUGAUUUUCUGAGAGGAUACCCUGGUUUUGCUCUGCUCCAUCUGAAUCUCCCUGAAAGUCAUGACUGCUGGUGGCCAGGUAUGAUGUUUCUGGGCCACAUUCUGUCCAGCCGGAGCAUCUAAGGUAUUAACAUAACUGGAGGGACUCCUCUGUGGUUUAUUUAAGAUCCUCUGGUCUUCCUGGGCCACUGAAGGAAAUAUCAUAGCUGCAUAAUGGUCUAUAAAAUCCGAGUCUACAUUCCUGAUACUCUACCACACUUCCUGCUAGGAAUUAAUCACAAGAACAAAGGCCAUUCGUGUUUCUUAGCAAUGCCUUAUUUGUGAGCAGAUUGCAAAACAACCACAGCUAAACCAGAAUUUCAGUCAGAUCUCAACUAAGUUUGGUUUGUACGUGUCAAGGUCACUUAUCAGCCAAUUCCUGGAACUCGGAUGCGUUUUCCCAUGGAAACAGUAUGACAGACUGUAUGAAGGCCUCAGGUCAAGCCAUAAGUGCCUGCAGUAACCAUGGUACCGAGAGCACAAUUUCAAGAACUCCCAAUCACUAUGUACAAUGUUGCUUCUAUAGGAAAAUGCCUGUCAAGCUCUCAUGCCGGGUUCUCAGAACAUCUUUCUCAGCCCCACAUUUAUCCUGGCAGCAUGAGAGAAUUUCCUCCUUUGAUUAAGCGUUCAUUCAUUCCUACAAAUAUUUAUUGUGCAGCUAAUCUGUACCAGCCAUUGCUCUAAAUACUAUAGAUAUAGCAGUGAACAAAAUUUACUCCCUAGAUGUUCUGAAAUGGGGGCAUAGGGUCAGCUGCUACCAUAUUAACCAGCAUAAGGGAGGAAGGGCUACCCAACUGUUUCUUCCAAAAUAACCAGGGUGUCCCAAAGGUAAAUUUUCAUUUAUACCCUUGAAUGCAUACAUGAAGACUCUCAGCAUGUCAGUUUUCUAUCUUAGCAAUGUUUACAUCUGGGCUUCAUUUUGCAUCCCCUUUUUCACAUCUGGCUGUUGAUUCUCAAAUGGACCAAAAGCAAAUCACCAAGAUAAGAAAUAUUUUCUCAUUUUGCAUGGGGCAGAGAAGACCCUGGGAAGCACACCGUGUCUUGAUUGACUUUGGCUUGAGGGCUUCUAGUACCUUGGGAAUCAUGAAAGGGCUUGGGGAAUCAGGGAGUGAUAGCAAUGUUCCUCACAUCGGUGGAGGUGGCUUUCCAGCCAAUCCAGAUGGUAAGAAAGAAGCUACAUUCUUCUGCUUCCCAACCGCUCUGGGAGAACCUUCUGGGUAAAAUCAACUGGACUCUUCACCUCUCUAAACGCUGCUUAUUUCCUUAUGUAAUUGAGCAUGCUGCUACAAGACUAACUGAAAAACAGGGUUUAUGCAUUAGUCCUUCACAUUCAUUCACUCAGAGCACCCAAACUGUCUCUAAAUUGAAAAGAAUAUUGAUAAUUUUCAAGUACUCUUGCUCCUUAUAAAGUGGUCCUAUAGGUUUACUCCCUACCACCAUGUUUGACGUGUUUGUGAUUGCUUUAAAAAACAAAGUAAAACAAAAUCCUUUUUGUUUGGCAGCACAAUGAACUCCAAGAAUAAAAGAUCUUCUGGCA